UACCUACAUCCUGAUCAGUACAGGUGCAGUGGUGUUCAUUUUGUUGUGAUCAUAGCAAUCUACUGCAAAAGAAAAUGUCAAGGACCUGUAACAUCUUCCAAAAGACAAGUGAUAUUUAUGAAAAUGACCAAAAUAUCAAUUCUCUUCAAUCAAGAGUAAACAUCAAAUUACCUGAAUUACCAGACCCAACCACCGAGCAAUCAGAAUCAAUCUAUCAGAAUCAAUAAGAUUCAGUCUACUAGAAUCUGGCAGUCUCUAAUAGCAAAUAAGAUGUGGAUAAGAUUUAAACCCUCUCAGUGUUUACUGGUUUCCCAGCAGGCAUUGUUCUUGGCCUGUGGAUUAUUCAUUUUCUGUAUUGCUUAUUACAUUAUUAUGCAUAGACCCAAAUGUAAAGCCUCCUAUUGCAGAAUUUACACUUAAUUUAUUUCACCUUUUAUGUAACUUUAAGUAAAAUGUAACAUGAGUAUAAUUGUGUAUUCAUUUUUCCAAUUUUAUGUCUAAUUCCACAGGAAAGUAAAUGAAAUAAUAAAUACAUUUACACAGAAUGAUUGAAUGUACAUUUUCACAUGGUUUG